rnacentral:rRNA from 1 species
GACGAACGCUGGCGGCUUGCUUAACACAUGCAAGUCGAACGAAGAGCGAUGGAAGCUUGCUUCUAUCAAUCUUAGUGGCGAACGGGUGAGUAACGCGUAAUCAACCUGCCCUUCAGAGGGGGACAACAGUUGGAAACGACUGCUAAUACCGCAUACGAUCCAAUCUCGGCAUCGGGACUGGAUGAAAGGUGGCCUCUAUUUAUAAGCUAUCACUGAAGGAGGGGAUUGCGUCUGAUUAGCUAGUUGGAGGGGUAACGGCCCACCAAGGCGAUGAUCAGUAGCCGGUCUGAGAGGAUGAACGGCCACAUUGGGACUGAGACACGGCCCAGACUCCUACGGGAGGCAGCAGUGGGGAAUCUUCCGCAAUGGACGAAAGUCUGACGGAGCAACGCCGCGUGAGUGAUGACGGCCUUCGGGUUGUAAAGCUCUGUUAAUCGGGACGAAUGGUUCUUGUGCGAAUAGUGCGAGGAUUUGACGGUACCGGAAUAGAAAGCCACGGCUAACUACGUG